rnacentral:rRNA from 1 species
GAUGAACGCUGGCGGCGUGCUUAACACAUGCAAGUCGAACGAUGAAGCCCAGCUUGCUGGGUGGAUUAGUGGCGAACGGGUGAGUAACACGUGAGUAACCUGCCCUUGACUCUGGGAUAAGCCUGGGAAACUGGGUCUAAUACUGGAUAUGACUUCUCAUCGCAUGGUGGGGGGUGGAAAGAUUUAUUGGUCUUGGAUGGACUCGCGGCCUAUCAGCUUGUUGGUGAGGUAAUGGCUCACCAAGGCGACGACGGGUAGCCGGCCUGCGAGGGUGACCGGCCACACUGGGCCUGAGACACGGCCCAGACUCCUACGGGAGGCAGCAGUGGGGAAUAUUGCACAAUGGGCGCAAGCCUGAUGCAGCGACGCCGCGUGAGGGAUGACGGCCUUCGGGUUGUAAACCUCUUUCAGUAGGGAAGAAGCGAGAGUGACGGUACCUGCAGAAGAAGCGCCGGCUAACUACGUG